AGAGUUUGAUCCUGGCUCAGGAUGAACGCUGGCGGCGUGCUUAACACAUGCAAGUCGAGCGAAGCGCUUUGACUUCUUCGGAAAGAUAAGUGACUGAGCGGCGGACGGGUGAGUAACGCGUGGGUAACCUGCCUCAUACAGGGGGAUAACAGUUGGAAACGACUGCUAAUACCGGAUAAGACCACAGCACCGCAUGGUGCAGGGGGAAAAACGCCGGUGGUAUGAGAUGGACCCACGUCGGAUUAGCUAGUUGGUGGGGUAACGGGUCACCAAGGCGACGAUCAGUAACCAACCUGAGAGGGCGACCGGCCACAUUGGGACUGAGACACAGCCCAAACUCCUACGGGAGGCAGCAGUGGGGAAUAUUGCACAAUGGGGGAAACCCUGAUGCAGCGACACCGCGUGAAGGAAGAAGUAUUUCGGUAUGUAAACUUCUAUCAGCAGGGAAGAUAAUGACGGUACCUGACUAAGAAGCCCCGGCUAACUACGUGCCAGCAGCCGCGGUAAUACGUAGGGGGCAAGCGUGAUCCGGAUUUACUGGGAGUAAAGGGAGCGUAAACGGUACGGCAAGUCUGAUGUGAAAACCUGGGGCUCACCCUCGGGACUGCAUUGGAAUCUGUUGAACUAGAGUGUCCGAGAGGUAAGCAGAUUUCCUAGUGUAGCGGGGGAAUGCGUAGAAAUUAGGAGGAACACCGGUGGACCACGGCGGGCUAACUGGACGAAUUACUGACGAAUAAGGUCCAAAAGCGUGGGGAGCAAAACAGGAUUUAGAUACCCUGGUAGUCCACGCCGUAAACGAUGACUACUAGGUGUCGGGCAGCAUAGCUGUUCGGUGCCGGCAGCUAACGCAAUAAAGUAGUCCACCUGGGGGAGUACGUUCGCAAGGAUGAAACUCAAAGGAAUUGACGGGGACCCGCACAAGCGGUGGAGCAUGUGGUUUAAUUCGAAGCAACGCGAAGAACCUUACCUGGUCUUGACAUCCCGCUGACCGUUCCGUAAUGGGAACUUUCCUUCGGGACAGCGGAGACAGGUGGUGCAUGGUUGUCGUCAGCUCGUGUCGUGAGAUGUUGGGUUAAGUCCCGCAACGAGCGCAACCCUUAUCUUUAGUAGCCAGCAUUACGGAUGGGCACUCUAGAGAGACUGCCAGGGAUAACCUGGAGGAAGGUGGGGAUGACGUCAAAUCAUCAUGCCCCUUAUGACCAGGGCUACACACGUGCUACAAUGGCGUAAACAAAGGGAAGCAGAGCCGCGAGGCCGAGCAAAUCUCAAAAAUAACGUCUCAGUUCGGAUUGUAGUCUGCAACUCGACUACAUGAAGCUGGAAUCGCUAGUAAUCGUGGAUCAGAAUGCCACGGUGAAUACGUUCCCGGGUCUUGUACACACCGCCGGUCA
rnacentral:rRNA from 1 species